CGCGCAUCGCGCACCUGCGGGCGCUGCGCGGCGCCGUGACCUUGGGAGGCGCCGGCGGCCGGGCCGAGCAGCGCGCCGGGAGCCGUGCGGGGCGGGUGGCGGAUGCGACAGCGCGGUGUGGGAGAAGGAGCGGGUGUGCGUCCGUGUGUCCCUCGGUGCCGCGAUUUGGAGGCGGAGAUCGGCGGAGUUGCGGAGGGGUGCCGUGGUGGGGCUUCAGAAGAACGGGGACGUCACCGCUUAUUGCUCCGUAGUGCGUUUUUCCUGAUCGCCUCCGGAGAAGCUGCAGGUCGAGCUGCGUUUACGUGUAAUUCUUAUCAUUGAGGCAUUGCACACUUAAAUGUGAGUGCAGCUCAGCCACCAUUCUCGAGGCUGGAUUAGCGAGAACGAAACUGUGCAAUACAUAUUUUAGAUGUUUUCCCAUUGCGCAACGCUCCGGUGUUCUGUGGCAGGACAGGAGGGAUCGGACCUUGGCAGCCCUUCCAGCGGCGGCUCCGUUCCGUGUCGUGCCGCUUCCCUCGGCCCGGCGCUGCGGCGGGCAGGGCUGGCCCCGAGGGGCAGCUCUUGCUCGAGUGCGCUUGCAGAUGGUCCUGUUCGAAGGCUGUGUCUGUCUUUUUCUGCUCUGAGCAGUUUUCGGUAUGGAAAUGACAUUGUAACUUAACCCCAUUUUCUUAUUAAGAUGGUUUAUUCAAAUCUGGUUUUAAUAUUGUUCUGUUGUGGUUUAACCACAGGGGUCUAGGUUCUGUUUUCAGUGAGGUCAUUGUAAAUCUAGAAUAACAACACCAGAAUGACUUCAUCAUUUACAUUCAGCAUUGUAAAAUCUGUGUCUUUUGUUUGUAUUUGUAAGAGGAGGGAGAAAAGUCUAUUUGUGUAAUGAGUACUAUUGGUAACAGCAAACCUAACCAGCUGGAAAUUGCUUACAAAAAUUACAGGCAUUUCUCAGACUCUUUCAAGUAUAAGCAGAAAAUAUUUAAAGCUUAUUAGUGAUUAACACAGUGUGUGUCCUCACAUUCGCAUGCUUCAAUAUGGUUUAGCGACCACAAAAUGGAAAUGUGAUCACAAAACUGUAUACACAGAAGUUAUUUAGAAAUGACUGGCGUGUGUUGUAGAACAACAAAUGGAAAUGCAUGUUAGAUGUUUAUUAGUCAUUCCUUGUUGGAUCAUUAUAGAUACUUUGCAUCAAUCACUUUCAAGUCUGCCAGUCGUGCUAUCAACAGUCAGUAAAUGCAGAGAUACAUGAAUCCAUAUAGAUAAGAACCCUUGAAGAACAAAGCAAAAAACAUUCCUUUAUGUUGUAAGAAGGAAUAAGAUUUUGGUACCUUUCAGAAGUUUUCCUUCCAUUCAAUUUUUACUGUUGAAAAAAUCUAUUCAGCCUGAUUCUUCUGUACUCUCACAAGUCAAGUUUCCACUGACGUCAACAGGAGUACCAUAUAAAGGACAAGUACAGGAUUAAACACGACACAAUGUUUGGCAUGGUAGGCUUCCUAAAAGAUCUCAGGGCUCUUACCAGGGAAAUUAAGUCACCAGCAACACCAAGGGACUGGGAUUUUUAAUUACUUGAAUCUUCAUUUUCUUAUCAGUGGAUAAAAGUGGUGCAUGCUAAGCACACAGACAUAACAUCCACAAAUAGAAAGUCCAGUGCUCUUAAAAUUAAAUACCUAUUUUCCUUGAUCAUUCAGCAGUACUUGAAAGCUUGAGCCCAUGCCAAGGAACUAAUGAGAGCCUGGCACUGACUUGGGCUUGUUGAUUCCAGCCUCUUUCUUUUCUGUCUCCCACCUGCAUCAGACUCAUAAUUUGUGACUGUGGCUUUUUGGCAGAAUGCAGUGCCUCAGGCAAAGCCAAAAGCUAGCCCCGAGAGGAAGGUGGAUACUAGAAAUGGUACAAUCAAUAACACUGCACAUGAGUGAAGCUGCAAGGCAUGUUAGCAACAGCAAAAGAACACAAUACACAUCAGCUCAGUGCCUGCAGCAGUUCAGGCUUCUCACAGAAAUCCAAACCGUGCUCCAUGGGGCUGCUCCUCCCUGCCACAGUUGUGAUGAAGACGGUGAAAUGACACACACCAAUGAGGCCUGCUUGCAUGUACAGAAUGUGUAGGAGCAGCUCUUAAAGCACAUGUUCACAAAUCCUGUGGCAACAGAAGCAUUAUAAAUACAUUUCAAGCAAUAUAAAUACAGGAAACAGAUUAGAUAAUUACUAUAGCCAUUUGAUUACUCAUGAUUGACAUUAACAUUUUGGGUAGAAAAGGUGCCAGUGCAAUCUUGUCUCCCUUUUCUGUCAAUACUGGUACCACAUACUGUGAAGGUUUUUAGAAACUAAUAAAACCAGAUGCUAUUCUUCAUCUCUCCUCAAUUUCUUAGAGUCAGAUCACAUCCAAAUAUGGUAAACAAACUGGUGUUUCUAGAUUUGAUGGUACUUCUGAAUGAUAUUGAAUACAAACAGAAGCAGCAUCAAUAGCUUCAGUAAGUGCAAACUCUUCACUCAUUCAGAUACCUCCAUGCUGUUUAUGGUACUCAUUCAUGGGCAAAGGACAGUACGAAACCUGUGCAUCACUUAGGCCUCACUUGAAUUCUGUUUUGAAGUUUUACAUAUCACAGAACAGUUGUUGACUCUGCGCACAGGAAGAGCACAUCCUGUUUGUGUACGCUUUAUGAAAUUUCCUGAAAUAUAUUUUUAUUGUGAUUAUUACUUGUGAAGCACAGAAAAUGUCAGUACAGAUGGAAAAUGGCACAGAUGCUUCAUAUCAAAGUCUUUUUUUCCUUACUAAAUUACCAACUUCUAGUACUCUGGCUGCAGGAGUGAUGACAUGCCACACAGGCUAUAACCCGCUGGACAUUUUCAGCAGAAGUGCAUUCAAUGAUUAUGUUGUGAUUAUGUUACCUUUUAAUUUUCAUGGUAGAUUUUCAACUCUGAAAAUCUAUUUGCAGUCUUUUUUUAGCAUUAACUGUCACGUUACUGCUCAGUGCUGAGCAAGAUGCAGAAGAAACUUGCAGUGUUCUGAUUCAUUCUAGCAAUUCUGUGAAACUUAAAUGCAGUUAUGAAAAUAAAAGUAAUUUUUGGUCCUCGGUCAGGUUGGAGUCCUUUCUUAUAUUACAAAAAUGAUAGUUUACUACUAAUUUCUAAUGGGAGACUAAUGCAGCUUCAUGACAUGUCAGUGCAGUGGGAAAAGCCUGACUGCCUCUCUUGCUGAGUUUAACUAUUGCCAAUACAAGCCACUUCAAUGCAUUUUGAAAUAUACAUAUACAUUUUGAAAUAUACCACAUUUAACUAAUCUCUGCUGUAAAAAAUGAACAAGCUUGACUACAUGAAUAAAUCUUAGUUUCCAGACAAAAGCUAUUUGUCACAAUUCAAUGAAAUUACAUCCACUUGAUAAAGCCCUGUGCAGUGUAAAAUUAAUGUCAAUAAGGACAUUUUAGUUAAGUCCUGCAUCCUGCAUCUUCUCAUACCAGGAUAAUGUAUUGGUUCACCA